UACUGUAGUAUUGAUUUGAAAUGAUGGUUUCGCAACUUUUUGCCCAACAGUGAUAAUAAAUAACGUUCAAUUCACUUCUUCUUCUCCUCGAGGUACUUUGGUUCUCUUUCAUUUAGGUUUAUAUAUAGGCAGCACUUCCAUUGUUGCAGAAGGUUUUCUCUCUUCUAAACUCAAUCUCUCUUUCUCUGUCCAUAUGCUCCUUGUAAAUGAUGGUACAAUGACCAAGCUUCAGAAUUUGGAUGCUUAUGCCAAAAUCAAUGAAGAUUUCUACCGUCGUACCCUCUCCAGUGGCGUAAUCACAAUCGCCUCCUCCAUUGUCAUGCUCUUGGUAUUUCUCGCCGAGCUCGGUGCAUAUUCUUUUCUUUCGUUUUUAAUAUUUGGGGUUGGGGAUCUUGUACUUUUUGGGGUUAAUUUUUGUUUGAGAUUAGUUAAAGAAGUCAUUGAGAAUUCAUAUGUUGCUAUAGUUUAGUUUUCUUUAACAGUCAAUUUUCUUUCAGAGCUACUUUCAUUGGCAAGCAAGGAUUGUAAUUGCAACAUUUAUCAAUACAUAACUUUUACUAUUUUAGUUGGGGUUAUAAUUAUUUAGAAAUCAUGAUGUAGUUAUAUGUUAUCCUUAUAACCUGAUUAUUCUGAUCCCGUCUUUGUUGAUUUCUGUAUUGUUUCUUUUCUGAUGAGUUGCAUUGUUGGGUUUACUAUUGAGAAACAUGAUAAUUGAUAUCCAAAUUGGCAUAUGAAGUUCACAAUUUAUUCUUUGAUCACCAUUUUCUCCAAAUAAAUCUUCGUGGAGCUUAACCUCUUUGACUAUUAUGACAGAAUGCCACAGAAAAGCCAAAAGAUUUUUGUUCAUGUGCUUUCAGAAAUUGCUGCCCAUGAGGUUGAGGAAAUGUGUAUGGCUACAAUUAUAUGAGUAGUUAUAACUAUUGUUAUCUCACACAAAUUAUUAUCGUUGCAAGUUGAAUUUUUUUAUUAAUUAUUUCCCUGGUAUUGCAUAAAUAAAUUGAUUUUGUGUACAUGAUAUCCGAUAAUAGGAUUCGAACAUUUACUAAGGGAUUUUGAUCUUGUUAUUGAUCAGAAGCUUUCUUUAAGUCAUGAGAUACUUUACCAUUUGCAGCACUUCAACAUUGUCAGCAAGAGGGGAAACUAAGGCUUCUAUAUCAACAUCUUCAUAAGAUAUCUCAUCAAGAAGCUCCUGGAAAGCUUAUACAAAUGGAGAGCUUCCUGAUAAGAUUGAUAUGGAUUUCUCUCAAGUGUAGUUUGGGGGUUGCAAGGAUUGAACAAAUGAGACUAAACACGUUGAGAGGUCUAGCUCGAUGUGUUUGGAAGCUUAACACUUUGGGGUUGCUUCUUACACAGCAUCAGAUUGAGUUUCAUCCUUACCUCUACUCAUGAGGUUAAGUAUUCGGCUAGUGGCCUUUCUCUAUGGAUACCAAUCAAUUUUCUUAUGUUGUGUUCAAAUAGGUUUCAAGAGCCAAUGAUAUCAAUGUUAUGUGAAAUUGUACUCAAGGCUCUAUUGCAUUAGAGGAUGUCGAUCCUGCAUUAGCAUUUAGUUGAUUGGAUUUUACGUUUUGUAAAUCUCUUUUGUACUCACGGUUUUUGCUACUGUAGUGGCUUUUAAAAUAAAAUUUUGUUUCCAUGUUCAA